GGCAGCUCAGACGCCUGGCUGGGAACUAAAGUAGCUGAAAACAAUCAAUUCUGCAAAUGCCUGAGCAGUUAUUUGCCUGCACUGUUAGGGGACUUGCAUAUAAUUUCAGUAAAAUGCAAAAUACUUCCCUUUCACAGCAAGAUUAACUUGUUUUUUUCACUUUCAUAAUCUGAAAUGAGCUUACAACAAGAGUGUUUAAGACUACUUCAGUAAAAUCCUCUGAGCAUCCUCUGGAAUUUUCAUCCAUGAGAAACGUCUGCAUCCUGCAAGCUGGCAAACCAGCAGAAGAGCAGCCCUGUCACCCUUCGCCCUGCCCAACCACAGACUGUGCAAUAAGCACAGCUUUACUGCCACAGAGUAAAUCCACCAACUCCUGGACUCAAGCUCUGGGCAGGGUCUUGCGUGUUAACCCCAUUUCCAAUAAGCCUGGGAAUUUGCAGCCCACUCUGGCAGGAUUUAAAGGCUAGAGAUACCGAGCUAUCAGACAAUUUCCUAAAAACAAAGAAUUAUUUAU
rnacentral:lncRNA from 1 species